UGGGGAAUUUUCCGCAAUGGGCGCAAGCCUGACGGAGCAACGCCGCGUGAGGGAGGAAGGCCUGUGGGUCGUAAACCUCUUUUCUCAGGGAAGAAUUUUUGACGGUACCAGAGGAAUCAGCAUCGGCUAACUCCGUGCCAGCAGCCGCGGUAAGACGGAGGAUGCAAGCGUUAUCCGGAAUUAUUGGGCGUAAAGCGUCCGUAGGCGGUUUACCAAGUCAGUUGUUAAAGACUGCAGCUCAACUGUGGGCGAGCAACUGAAACUGAUGAACUAGAGUGCGGUAGGGGUAGAGGGAAUUCCCAGUGUAGCGGUGAAAUGCGUAGAUAUUGGGAAGAACACCAGUGGCGAAGGCGCUCUACUGGGCCGCAACUGACGCUGAGGGACGAAAGCUAGGGGAGCGAAAGGGAUUAGAUACCCCCGUAGUCC
rnacentral:rRNA from 1 species